rnacentral:rRNA from 1 species
GGGGAAUUGUUCGCAAUGGACGCAAGCCUGACGACGCAACGCCGCGUGGAGGAUGAAGAUUUUCGGAUCGUAAACUCCUUUCGAUCGGGACGAAUGGCUGGGAACCUAAUACGUUUCCGGAUUGACGGUACCGAGAGAAGAAGCCCCGGCUACCUCCGUGCCAGCAGCCGCGGUAAUACGGGGGGGGCAAGCGUUGUUCGGAAUUACUGGGCGUAAAGGGCGCGUAGGCGGCCUGCUAAGUCACACGUGAAAUCCCUCGGCUCAACCGGGGAACUGCGUGUGAUACUGGCGGGCUCGAAUUCGGGAGAGGGAUGUGGAAUUCCAGGUGUAGCGGUGAAAUGCGUAGAUAUCUGGAGGAACACCGGUGGCGAAGGCGGCAUCCUGGACCGAGAUUGACGCUGAGGCGCGAAAGCUAGGGUAGCAAA